ACGGUCAUGGAUUUUUAAAUGUUAAAAAAAAAACCGGAAGACUAUGUACAGUAAUAACCGAAGAGCAUACGUUUUAAAUAAUGUAUCAAUGGGUUUGUCUCUUUGUAAUUUUGUUUAUAGAUUCAGUGGGAAACAACAUGGAUCUCAAACGGACAGUAUACAUGUUACGGGACCUACAAAAGCAGCAGCAACAACAACUGCUAAAGCUACAACUGCUGUACCUACAACUGCAGCACCAACCACUGGGGCACCUACAACUGCAGAACCUACCACUGCAGAACCUACAACUGCAGCAUCUACAACUGCAUUGCCUACUACUGCAGGACCUACAACAGCAGCACCAACCAAUGUGGCACCUACAACUGCAUAUCCAACCACUGUGGCACCUACAACUGCGUUGCCAACGACUGCAGGACCUGAAACAGCAGCACCGACCACUGUGGCAGGAACAACUGAUUUAACAACCACUGAAGGACCUAAAACAGCACAGACAACUGCAGAACCUAAAUCUGCAGUACAUACAACUGCCUUGCCAACCACUGCAGGACCUACAACAGCAGCACAAACCACUGUAGCACCUACCACUGCAGCAGCUACAACUACAGAGCCUAAAACUGCCUUGCCUACUACUGCAGGACCUACAACAGCAUUGCCAACCACUAGAGGAUCAACAAAAGGCGUACUAACCACUGUGGCACCUACAACUGCAGAAACGACCAUUGCAGGAGCAACAACUGCCUUUCCAACUACUACAGGACCUGCAACAGCAGCACCAAUCACUGUGGCGCCUACAACUGCAGCACCUACCACUGCAGCAGUAACAACUGUCGAACCCAAAACUGCUUUGCCUUCUACUGCAGGAUCUACAACCGCAUUGCCAACAACUACAGGACCUACAACAGCCGUACCAACCACUGUGCCACCAGCAACUGCAGCACCUAUUACUGCAGCAGUAACAACUUCCUUGCCAACCACUGCAGGACCUACAACAGCAGCAGGACCUACAACAGCAGCACCUACCACUGUGGCCCCCACAACUGAUGCACCUACACCUGCAUUGCCAACAACUGCAGGACCUACAACAGCAGCGCAAGCCACGGUGGAACCUACCACUGAAGCACCUUCCACUGUAGCAGCUACAACUGUAACAGCAACAGCAACCACUGCCUUGCCAAACACUGCAGGACCUACAACUGCAGCAUCUACCACUGAAACAGUUACCACUGCAGCACCUACAACUGCAUUGCCUACGACUUUAGGACCUACAGUACAACAGCAGGGCCAACACUGAGGCACCUACCACUGAAACACCUACCAUUGCAGCAGCUACAACUACCUUUCCAAACACUGCAGGACCUACAAGAGCAGGAUUAACCACUGUGGCACCUACAACUGCGGCACCUACAACUGCAGCACCUACAACUCCCUUGCCAACCACUGCAGGACAUACGACAGCAGCACCAACCACUUUGGCACUAUCAACUGCAGAAUUUACCGCUGCAGAACCUACAACUGUCUUGCCUGCUACUGCAGGACCUACAACAGCAGCACCAACCACUUUGGCACCUACCACUGAAGCACCCACCACUGCCGCAGCUACAACUGCAGCAGCAACAACUGCAUUGCCAACAACUGUAGGACCUACAACAGCAGCACAAACCACCAUAGCACUUGCAACUGCUUUGCCAACUACUGCAGCACCAACCACUGCAGAAGCUACAACUGCUGCACCUACAACUACCUUGCCAAAAACCGCAGGAUCUACAACAGCAGCACCAACCACUGUGGCACCUACCACUAAUGCAGCAACUGCUACUGAAGCACCAAGAGUUGUCUUUCUCUUAGCAACCUUGCAACAACCAUUCGUAGAAGAACUCAAUAAUCGAAACAGCCAGGAAUUGAGUUAAAAGUUCUUACUGUGGUUAGUACUUCACUCACAUAAAAUGGUUUUAUGUCAGUUUUUUAUUAAAUUUAGGACAUUACUGUAUUCAUAGUUUGUUCACGUUCUGCAUUUUCUUUAUUUCUACAGUUUGAUUUUAUCUACGGAACAAGAUUUGAUUUCAUUUUUCUCCACACUUAUGUGAUCAUUUUUAGGUCAUAUUUCAAAUGUUCAGAGUCCUACUGUAUUUAUUUACGAUAUUUUGAAUUAGUGAUUACAUAAAAAAUGAAAUACCACAACCAUGCAGCUGUUGGUUCUGUUAACAUUAUUUGAUUGACAUUUUCUUUCACAAUGUAGUCCACGUGCAGCGUUGACACGAAUGUCUACAACCGAAGUAAAGGUUGGCAUUGAGUUCAAUCAGCUUCUGUCACUGUAUUUUGUAAGUAUAUUGGCCUCCGGUUAAUCGUAAUGGUUUGGAAGACAAAGAAAUACACCCCAUGUCACUAACAGUCUGUGAGUUGGUUUGUGUGCUUUCCUGAUCCCUCUUUGGCAAAUCGCUUGUUUGACAAACAACACACAAUCUAAAUAUAAAUAUCAUGAAGUCUGCAUUGGCAUUAGUAAGGCUACUUAGACUGUGAUUUACCAAAGUGAUAUCCAUCUUGUAAUAUGUGGGUUUGAUCAAGAGAACACCCUCUGGCUAUCGUCAUUCAUUGACUCCACCUUUAUUUGUUUUUUACAGAAAUUAACAUUACAUCAAAUGUUCUCCAACAGACUGCUUCAGCUCCGCUGUCACAAGGACCGAUACAGGAGAUCAUUCCUGCCCAGUGCAAUAACACUUUACAAUAAAUCAUCUCUGGCCAAAUAAUGACAAUAACAACCCUGUACUGCUGUAAUGUUGCUGCUCUUCCUCUUCCUCUUCUCCUUUUACAAAUUAUUAUCAUUGUCUCUUUUUGAAGGUUAUUCUUUUGUUUUAGUUUAUUUAUUUUUUUAUUAUAUUGUAUAUAAUGUGUAUCUUUUAAUUCUAUUUUCUUCCCUGUACAUGCUGCUAGGACACCAAAAUUUACCUCCUGAGGGAUCAAUAAAGCAUCUAUCUAUCUAUCUAACUCCAUUGUUGUGGAUGUUUCACGUAAGACAUAUUAAAUGAUGUCUCGCAAAUCUUUUUUAGAUUUUAUGUUUUUUUAUUUCUUACAACUUCUGUCACUGUAAUUUGUAAGUAUAUAGGUAAGAAUUAUGUAUUUUAAUGGUUUUGAACUACACCACAUGCCACUAAUAAGUAAUCUGCCAGAGUCUGUGAGUUGGUUUGUGUACUUUCCUGAUCCCUCUCAAAGAACACACAAUCUAAAUAUAAAUAUAAUGAUCAUCAUCAGAUGUUGUAAUGUUUGGGUUUAAUCAAGAGAAAGCUCUCUGGCUAUCAUUAUUCAUUUACUCCAUCUUUAUUUGUUUUUUUACAGAAAGAAACGUUACAUCAUAUUAUACAACUGCACCCUCAACUUUGAAUACUGCAGCACCCACAACAGCUGCACCCGUAACAUCUCAGGCGGUCACAACAAGGCGAUUGACUUUCAGAUCUGCUGGAGAGACAUUUACUUCAGACUUGCUGAAUCCAUCUGCUUCAAAGAAGAGCCUCAUUGAUCACGUCAACACUCAAGCUGUUCAACCAGAGAGCAUUUCCUACGUUCCGCUCCUUAACAGUGACUUCAUUCAGAAAUGGAUCAAUUAUAAAUAACAUGGAUCUUGGAUUUUUGUCAACUUCUGUUCCUAAUGGCACUCAGAUUUGAAAUGUUUUGGUUAAAGCAGCUUCAACCAUCACAGCCUUCAAUGUUGACCUCAACUCAAUUGUUAGGUCUCAAGUGGAGUAAGACACAAGAUCAGUCUCAUCACUGCAUCCUUCCUUGUAUUGUUGUCAUGGAUACUGUCAAACCAGCAAUAGCAUCAUCACUGACUACUGUUAGAAAAGCCCUGAUUGUAUGAUUGCCAUCACUGGCAUGACAAAUUACUUCUUGAUUCUUGUCCAAGAAACCUUGUACAUCUUUGGAUAAACACACUAUCGAAUGUAAUUUUCCAUUGACCACACACCAUAAUGACAGUGGAAUAGAUAGAUAGGAAUAGUGUCUUUUGAUCUGAACACGUUUGCGGCUGGGAAUGUACAGGAUUAUGGACCAAAAACAAUAUGUAGCCAAUUUUAAUAAUCCAGAUAGAAUACCAUUUAGCCCUGAGAUGUAAAAGAAACAAUGUUUAUUAGCAAUCCCAACUAUAAACAAAUACAUAGAUUUGAAUUAUCAUGAUAUGAAUUACUUUGCCUCUCAGAUUAUUCUAUAUAUUCAAACACCACCACAUAGCCUAAGAGACACACUGUAAUCAAUUCAGCUUAAAAUAAACACAAACUGGCAAAGAAACCCCUUCUGUUAUUUUAGGGUUAAACCUAAACACACUUUUAAAACCAUAUAUGUGACAAUACUUUCUUUUAUUCUUUGGUCACCCUCAAGGUUAGAUUUAAGUGAAUGUUUCGAUUAAAUUUAAUGGAAUUGAAAGAAAUAUUGACGAUAUAUUUUCAAAUGGUGUUAGUGGUCAAAAGGUGUAUAUAUGUAUAAUUUAUAGCUAAACUCUUUGAGAUUUAUUGUUUUCACAAUCUUUGUCUGAACCUUCACAAUGAUCAUAACACAAAAUAUUGAAUAAUUAAAAUAGUCUCUUCUGUAAUGUUUUGAAACUUCUGUUGUCAAAGGUUACAUACAUAUCUUUUUGUCAUGCCCUGUGGCUAUAUCCCUGGUAAUUAAGAGAAAAAUGUGUACCAAAGUGUACACUUAUUCAUCAACAGAGGGAGCCAACACAGCACUAUGCAGUCUCAAUCACAUAGGUUUUAUAAUUUUAUAACCCCAGAUGGGUUUUACCUUCUGUGCUUUGAAUCAAUUGCUUUACAAUAUAUAAGGUCAUUGAUUUCUUUUUCUUUUUAAAAUAAGUAUGUUUAACUUCCCUUUUCCACUUUAUCUAAUUAAUUAAAAAAAACAGCAAUAACAAAAUCAAUUUUUCUAAAAGAUUGUAGUUUAGAUUGGUUUCAAGUAGCCCUUAAUUUUAUUUACCACAUUUUACAGUAGUAGAUUAGUAGUAUGAAUUAAAUCAUAUUGCAAACAAGUUGUAAAGAUAGGGCAUUGUGUCACAUGGUUUCCCCUCAGAAACGAAAAUGAAUAAAACAUCAAGUGGAACUGACGUGACAUGUAAUGUUUUCCAACCCAGUGCGGCUCAUGUUCCAGACCAACUAAAAGAACGG
ensembl:lncRNA